rnacentral:misc_RNA from 1 species
UCGUAACAAGGUUUCCGUAGGUGAACCUGCGGAAGGAUCAUUACCGAGUGAGGGCCCUCCGGGUCCAACCUCCCACCCGUGUCUAUUGUACCUUGUUGCUUCGGCGGGCCCGCCGUUUUCGAACGGCCGCCGGGGAGGCCUCGCGCCCCCGGGCCCGCGCCCGCCGAAGACCCCAACAUGAACUCUGUUCUGAAAGUAUGCAGUCUGAGUUUGAUUACCAUAAUCAGUUAAAACUUUCAACAACGGAUCUCUUGGUUCCGGCAUCGAUGAAGAACGCAGCGAAAUGCGAUAAGUAAUGUGAAUUGCAGAAUUCAGUGAAUCAUCGAGUCUUUGAACGCACAUUGCGCCCCCUGGUAUUCCGGGGGGCAUGCCUGUCCGAGCGUCAUUGCUGCCCUCAAGCACGGCUUGUGUGUUGGGCCCCCGUCCCCGGUUCUCCCCGGGGACGGGCCCGAAAGGCAGCGGCGGCACCGCGUCCGAUCCUCGAGCGUAUGGGGCUUUGUCACCCGCUCUGUAGGCCCGGCCGGCGCCAGCCGACACCCCCAACUUUAUUUUUCUAAGGUUGACCUCGGAUCAGGUAGGGAUACCCGCUGAACUUAAGCAUAUCAAUAA